CAGGAAGAGAGCACGGAUGUUGAGCUCUAGUCUGUGGCCAUGACUCCAGGCUCACCCUGGGUGCAGGACACCAUCUCCCACCCAGCAGGGCCCUGGAAACCAGCAAGUGCCCAGCAAGGUCUUGAGUGAUGGACAGUAAGGGACAAAAAGAACUGAAAAGGCAAGGGGAACUCUUCUUGGGCCUCUGCCCACGAGUCCUUCCUUACCCGUCAACAAGCCAAAGGAAGAGUGUGUUGGUAGAAUGUGUGUGUAUCAAGAAGAAAAGCUCUCCCUCUCAGUGGCCCGAGAAAGCAUUAAAUAGAAGAUUAAAAAGCUCAUGGUGGGCCGGCCGAGUGAUGCGUUGGUUAAGAGCUGGCUUGGGACGCCAGAGGGCCCCGGUUCG